rnacentral:tRNA from 1 species
GCGGAUGUGGCGGAAUUGGUAGACGCGCUUGACUUGAGGGGUCGGGUGACUUAGGUCGUGGGGGUUCAAGUCCCCCCAUCCGCACCA